rnacentral:lncRNA from 1 species
UUCAAACUAAUCACACUUUAUUCAAGCUAUAUAUAAUUGAGGACAAUCAUAAGUUCAUAACAACUACAAUGCCAGCUAUUGUUGAAGUACUACCCACAAGUUAUAAAACAAGAUUAACUUACUUCACUUAUUAUUGGCUUUAAUUUCCUCUGAUCACUUGGGGAGUCAUGAAUGAUAUACCUUGUUUCCUCACAUAUCUGUAUGUCUUUGACAUUAGUAUUUGGAACAUGUGGGUUGUGCAGUAGUCCCUUAAAUAUCAUGUAGGAUAUGCACUGUAUGUGAACAUAGCUUCAUAUAGGUAUUCAUGAAGCCCUUGAAAAGUUUGGUAAUGGUAGGGUUGAGCCAGGUUGGGAGGAUACAAUUAUCACAUCGUUAAAAAGAGUAGAACCC